rnacentral:misc_RNA from 1 species
GAUGAAGAACGCAGCGAAAUGCGAUACGUAAUGUGAAUUGCAGAAUUCAGUGAAUCAUCGAGUCUUUGAACGCACAUUGCGCCCCCUGGUAUUCCGGGGGGCAUGACUGUCCGAGCGUCAUUGCUGCCCUCAAGCACGGCUUGUGUGUUGGGCCUCCGUCCUCCUCCCGGGGGACGGGCCCGAAAGGCAGCGGCGGCACCGCGUCCGGUCCUCGAGCGUAUGGGGCUUCGUCACCCGCUCUUGUAGGCCCGGCCGGCGCUUGCCGACACAUCAAUCUUUUUUCCAGGUUGACCUCGGAUCAGGUAGGGAUACCCGCUGAACUUAAGCAUAUCAAUAAGCGGAGGA